rfam:Triticum urartu cultivar G1812 contig993959, whole genome shotgun sequence.
CACAUACUCCCUCCAUCCGGAAAUACUUGUCAUCAAAAUGGAUGAAAAUGGAUGUAUCCGGAACUAAAAUGCAUCUAGAUACAUUAAUUUCAAUGACAAGUAUUUUCGGACGGAGGGAGUACAAC